AUUGAACGCUGGCGGCAGGCUUAACACAUGCAAGUCGAGCGGAGAGAGGUAGCUUGCUACUGAUCUUAGCGGCGGACGGGUGAGUAAUGCUUAGGAAUCUGCCUAUUAGUGGGGGACAACAUUUCGAAAGGAAUGCUAAUACCGCAUACGUCCUACGGGAGAAAGCAGGGGAUCUUCGGACCUUGCGCUAAUAGAUGAGCCUAAGUCGGAUUAGCUAGUUGGUGGGGUAAAGGCCUACCAAGGCGACGAUCUGUAGCGGGUCUGAGAGGAUGAUCCGCCACACUGGGACUGAGACAAGGCCCAGACUCCUACGGGAGGCAGCAGUGGGGAAUAUUGGACAAUGGGCGCAAGCCUGAUCCAGCCAUGCCGCGUGUGUGAAGAAGGCCUUAUGGUUGUAAAGCACUUUAAGCGAGGAGGAGGCUACUUUAGUUAAUACCUAGAGAUAGUGGACGUUACUCACAGAAUAAGCACCGGCUAACUCUGUGCCAGCAGCCGCCGUAA
rnacentral:rRNA from 1 species